UGUAGCGUACCUACUAGCCUACGACGGGUACGGGUUGUGAGAGCAAGAGCCCGGAGAUGGAUUCUGAGACACGAAUCCAGGCCCUACGGGGUGCAGCAGGCGCGAAAACUUUACAAUGCCGGCAACGGCGAUAAGGGGACCUCGAGUGCCAGGUUACAAAUCUGGCUGUCGUGAUGCCUAAAAAGCAUUGCAUAGCAAGGGCCGGGCAAGACCGGCGCCAGCCGCCGCGGUAACACCGGCGGCUCGAGUGGUAACCGUUAUUAUUGGGUCUAAAGGGUCUGUAGCCGGCCGGAUAAGUCUCUUGAGAAAUCCAGCAGCUCAACUGUUGGGCUUUCAGGAGAUACUGUUCGGCUCGAGGCCGGGAGAGGUGAGAGGUACUUCAGGGGUAGGGGUGAAAUCUUGUAAUCCUUGAAGGACCACCAGUGGCGAAGGCGUCUCACCAGAACGGACCUGACGGCAAGGGACGAAAGCUAGGGGCACGAACCGGAUUAGAUACCCGGGUAGUCCUAGCCGUAAACGAUACUCGCUAGGUGUCGGCCACGGUGCGACCGUUGUCGGUGCCGUAGGGAAGCCGUGAAGCGAGC
rnacentral:rRNA from 1 species